rnacentral:rRNA from 1 species
UACGAAGGGGGCUAGCGUUGCUCGGAAUCACUGGGCGUAAAGGGUGCGUAGGCGGGUCUUUAAGUCAGGGGUGAAAUCCUGGAGCUCAACUCCAGAACUGCCUUUGAUACUGAAGAUCUUGAGUUCGGGAGAGGUGAGUGGAACUGCGAGUGUAGAGGUGAAAUUCGUAGAUAUUCGCAAGAACACCAAUGGCGAAGGCAGCUCGCUGGGACGGUACUGACGCUGAGACGCGAAAGCGUGGGGAGCAAACAGG